rnacentral:rRNA from 1 species
GCCGAACCGUGCAAACGUUAUUCGGAAUCACUGGGCCUAAAGGGCGCGUAGGCGGCUUGACAAGUCAGGGGUGAAAUCCGGCAGCUUAACUGUCGCAGUGCCUUUGAUACUGUCGAGCUCGAGGGAGGUAGGGGUCUGUGGAACUUCCGGUGGAGCGGUGAAAUGCGUUGAUAUCGGAAGGAACGCCGGUGGCGAAAGCGACGGACUGGAUCUCUUCUGACGCUGAGGCGCGAAAGCCAGGGGAGCAAACGGG